UACGUAGGGUCCGAGCGUUUAAUCGGAAUUACUGGGCGUAAAGCGUGCGCAGGCGGUUUCUGAAGUCCGUUGUGAAAGCCCCGGGCUUAACCUGGGAAUGGCAGUGGAAACUAGGAGACUUGAAUCUGGCAGAGGGGGGUGGAAUGCCACGGUGUAGCAGUGAAAUGCGUAGAGAAUGUGGCGGAACACCGAUGGCGAAGGCAGCCCCCUGGGUCAAGAUUGACGCUCAGG
rnacentral:rRNA from 1 species